ensembl:snoRNA
UGGACCAAUGAUGAUGAUCGUUUCGGGAAGAGUCCUGAACGAUGAAAACAUGUCUGAAACUCUGAGGUCCAA